rnacentral:rRNA from 1 species
AUACGGAGGAUGCAAGCGUUAUCCGGAUUUAUUGGGUUUAAAGGGUGCGCAGGCGGCUUGUUAAGCGGGAGGUGAAAUGCCGGCGCUCAACGUCGGAAGUGCCUCCCGAACUGGUGAGCUGGAAUGACUCUGCCGUGGGAGGAAUGUGUAGUGUAGCGGAGAAAUGCUUAGAGAUUACACAGAACACCGAUUGCGAAGGCAUCUCACGAAGGGUUGAUUGACGCUGAGGCACGAAAGCGUGGGGAUCAAACAGGAUUAGAUACCCUGGUAGUCCACGCAGUAAACGAUGAUGGCUAACCGCUGGGUCAGACGAUUCAGUGGCCAAGCGAAAGCGAUAAGCCAUCCACCUGGGGAGUACGACCGCAAGGUUGAAACUCAAAUGAAUUGACGGGG